rnacentral:rRNA from 1 species
GACGAACGCUGGCGGCGUGCCUAAUACAUGCAAGUAGAACGCUGAAGGAGGAGCUUGCUCUUCUGGAUGAGUUGCGAACGGGUGAGUAACGCGUAGGUAACCUGCCUGGUAGCGGGGGAUAACUAUUGGAAACGAUAGCUAAUACCGCAUAAGAGUAGAUGUUGCAUGACAUUUGCUUAAAAGGCGCAAUUGCAUCACUACCAGAUGGACCUGCGUUGUAUUAGCUAGUUGGUGGGGUAACGGCUCACCAAGGCGACGAUACAUAGCCGACCUGAGAGGGUGAUCGGCCACACUGGGACUGAGACACGGCCCAGACUCCUACGGGAGGCAGCAGUAGGGAAUCUUCGGCAAUGGACGGAAGUCUGACCGAGCAACGCCGCGUGAGUGAAGAAGGUUGUCGGAUCGUAAAGCUCUGUUGUAAGAGAAGAACGAGUGUGAGAGUGGAAAGUUCACACUGUGACGGUAUCUUACCAGAAAGGGACGGCUAACUACGUG